rnacentral:rRNA from 1 species
GAUGAACGCUGGCGGCGUGCCUAAUACAUGCAAGUCGAGCGAACGGACGAGAAGCUUGCUUCUCUGAUGUUAGCGGCGGACGGGUGAGUAACACGUGGAUAACCUACCUAUAAGACUGGGAUAACUUCGGGAAACCGGAGCUAAUACCGGAUAAUAUUUUGAACCGCAUGGUUCAAAAGUGAAAGACGGUCUUGCUGUCACUUAUAGAUGGAUCCGCGCUGCAUUAGCUAGUUGGUAAGGUAACGGCUUACCAAGGCAACGAUGCAUAGCCGACCUGAGAGGGUGAUCGGCCACACUGGAACUGAGAAACGGUCCAGACUCCUACGGGAGGCAGCAGUAGGGAAUCUUCCGGAAUGGGCGAAAGCCUGACGGAGCAACGCCGCGUGAGUGAUGAAGGUCUUCGGAUCGUAAAACUCUGUUAUUAGGGAAGAACAUAUGUGUAAGUAACUGUGCACAUCUUGACGGUACCUAAUCAGAAAGCCACGGCUAACUACGUG